UCUCUAGGGAAGGCAGACCUGUGUUUAGAAGAUGAGACUGCUGGGUCUCCUCCUGUGCCUGGUGACAGCCCUUCAGGGUGUAUGGUCACAGGUGCAGCUGCAGGAGUCGGGCCCGGGACUGGUGAAACCCUCGCAGACCCUGUCCCUCUCCUGCACUGUCUCUGGAUUCUCCAUCACAACCAGUGGUUAUGCAUGGUACUGGAUACGCCAGCCCCUAGGGAAGGGGCUGGAGUAUAUCGGCUAUAUAACUUUUGAUGGAAACAGUUACUACAGCCAGUCCCUUAAGAGUCGAGCCUCCAUCUCCAGAGACACGUCCAAGAACCAGUUCUCCCUGCAGCUGAGCUCCGUGACCACUGAGGACUCAGCUGUGUAUUACUGUGCAAGAGACACAGAGAGGGGAAGUUAG